AAGGUGACUAAAGACCUGUUCCUAUGUUUAUAAGAAACCUGAUGGGUCCUUGUAUACAAGCUCAAGAGGAAGCUGGAAAUGCUUUUAAGAAGCCUGUGGGUCCUUGUACAAAGCCCAAGAGGAGGCUAAUCGAGGGUCCUUGUUAUAGCACAAGAGAAAGCUUAUGUAGUUUUGAACUUAUUUUGGCUCUAAGCAAAUGGGUAAGAGGUUUCACCGGGAAUAAUUCCUCUUUGGGUGGAUGUGUCCUAUUACUUUUGGAUUCUAAGGUUUUUGCCAAGAUGUUUCACCGGGAAUAAUUCAUCUUGGGGGUUUGAACUACAGAUCUCUAAUUAGGAAAGAGCCUUCACCGGGAAGACAUUCUCAAUCCUAGUAAUUUAAACAAAGACUGUAAAUUGAAAGCUUGUAAAGCCUAACCUGGAUGGAGUGGAGGCCAUUGAAGAAAAGAAGUGAAGAUGGACAAAGGUCACAUAGGUAUCUGAAGAGUUUCACCGGGAAUAAUGCCCUUCAAAUACCAGAAGAAUGUUUUUGAAAACAGAAAGAAGAUUUUGAAAAUACAGUUUUGAAAACAAGCUAAGAAGAGAAGGUUUUUGGGACUUACACUCUAUUAGAGGCCCACUUAAAAAUGAUUUACUGUUUAUGAAAACAGUUGAAGAAAAGAUUGAAAUGAUAUAAGGUUUUGUUGUUUGAAAACCUUAAUCAUAUG